GCACUUCCUACGCUGCUAUGCCCCUCGCCGCCUAAGGCGAAGCUUAGCGCAAUAGCCUCCUCGUGAGGCUACGUCCGCCUACCCCGCUCUCUGACCGGUGGUAGAUCGGGCGACACAAGGUCAGAGUGCCAUGCAGCAAGGCGCGGUCUGCAUGAAAGAGGGCUUUCGGGUCCGAGCGCCUGGCUGGGGAGAGGUCUGCCUGGUCCUCCACUUUUCCAGCGAGAAUAAAGACCGGCUACGCUCGUAGAUAUUCGAGGGUCUAAUCUUUCGGACGCGGGUUCAAUUCCCGCCAUCUCCACUC
rnacentral:tmRNA from 1 species